GACUCAGAAAUUUCUGUUUUAGCUUCCCACACACCGGCCAGGACUGCCUCGCCUAUCCACGCAUCGUGGAGAAUUCAGCAGUAGCGACUCCAACAUCAGAGCUCCCCAAGUUCUGGGGACUUCAGAGCCCUCUGCCUACAGCCUGGGAGGCCUCGUGCCCAGACGCCAUGCACCCUCUGGUGACUGGCAGCCACCUGUCCAUCCCCCAAGACCGGAAAGGCAGCAAUAGCCCCCGGGAGCCCAGGGCUGUCCUCGGCGGCCAUGCAGUUCCUCACUGACAAGUUCCAGGACCUUUGAAGUUGGAGCCAGCAUCUUCCUACAAGAUGAACAGCUGCCACCUUUGGAGCUCCGGAGCUGCAGCCAAGCGGGUUCCCUCCAUAUCCUGUUCAGCCAGGGCUUCCUCUCUUCCUCUGCAUUUGCACACUUCCCAACGCAGUUCAAAGCAAUUUGAAAUAAAGUCGUUCUCAUAUUCUGUG
ensembl:lncRNA novel transcript